CGAACAGUGGUAUGACGCUACGUCCGUUGGAUUAUGCCUGAACGCCUCUAAGGUCGUAUCCGUGCUGGACUGCAAUGAUAAAUAAGGGGCAAUUUGCAUUGUAUGGCUUCUAAACCAUUUAAAGUUUAUUAUUUAUAUUUUAAACGACAAUGGAUGUGAUGCCAAUGUAAUUUGUAACAUAGUAAAUUGGGAGGAUCUUUGAUCACCUGGUGCCAUGCUAGUUACAUAUGAAAACAUUAUUUAAUACAAUGACAAAGCCUAGAAUCAAUUGUAAACGACUUUUGUAACGGGCAAGGUGUUGUAAGUGGUUGAGCAGCUGCCAUACUGCGAUCCACUGAAGCUUAUCCUUUGCUUGAUGAUUCGA
rnacentral:ncRNA from 1 species